GCCCCCGUAGCUCAGUUGGAUAGAGCAACGGUUUCCUAAACUGUAGGUCGGACGUUCAAAUCGUCUCGGGGGCACCA
rnacentral:tRNA from 1 species